UGAGGAAUAUUGGUCAAUGGGCGGGAGUCUGAACCAGCCAAGCCGCGUGAGGGAGGAAGGCCCUAUGGGUCGUAAACCCCUUUUGUCAGGGAACAAAAGCGAGUAUGUAUACUAGUCUGAGUGUACCUGAAGAAAAAGCAUCGGCUAACUCCGUGCCAGCAGCCGCGGUAAUACGGAGGAUGCGAGCGUUAUCCGGAUUUAUUGGGUUUAAAGGGUGCGUAGGCGGCGGUGCAAGUCAGCGGUAAAAGCCCGGGGCUCAACCCCGGCGAGCCGUUGAAACUGCAGUGCUAGAGAAGGCGAGAGGUACGCGGAAUGCGCAGUGUAGCGGUGAAAUGCUUAGAUAUUGCGCAGAACUCCGAUUGCGAAGGCAGCGUACUGGCGCAUGACUGACGCUGAGGCACGAAAGCGUGGGGAUCGAACAGGAUUAGAUACC
rnacentral:rRNA from 1 species